rfam:Picea glauca, whole genome shotgun sequence.
GGAUCUGUGGCGCAAUGGUAGCGCAUCUGAAUCUAGAUCAGAAGGCUGUGUGUUCAAUUCACGUCGGGUUCA